AACGAACGCUGGCGGCAUGCCUAACACAUGCAAGUCGAACGAGACCUUCGGGUCUAGUGGCGCACGGGUGCGUAACGCGUGGGAAUCUGCCCUUAGGUACGGAAUAACUCAGGGAAACUUGUGCUAAUACCGUAUGAUGUCGAGAGACCAAAGAUUUAUCGCCUAGGGAUGAGCCCGCGUAGGAUUAGCUAGUUGGUGGGGUAAAAGCCUACCAAGGCGACGAUCCUUAGCUGCUCUGAGAGGAUGAUCAGCCACACUGGGACUGAGACACGGCCCAGACUCCUACGGGAGGCAGCAGUGGGGAAUAUUGGACAAUGGGCGAAAGCCUGAUCCAGCAAUGCCGCGUGAGUGAAGAAGGCCUUCGGGUUGUAAAGCUCUUUUACCCGGGAAGAUAAUGACCGUACCGGGAGAAUAAGCCCCGGCUAACUCCGUGCCAGCCGCCGCAGUAA
rnacentral:rRNA from 1 species